rnacentral:tRNA from 1 species
GCCUUCAUAGUGUAAUGGCCAGCACACUUGGCACAUAUUCGAGAGGUCCAGGUUCAAGUCCCAGCGAGGGCA